rnacentral:rRNA from 1 species
AUGGCAGGGCGUCGUGUGUUGGUCCGCUGCGUUCUAAGCGCCAUGCCAACAUUCGCGCUCACCGUGCUACGCUUGCCGAAGAAGAUUCUUAGGGAGAUCGACAAGUGCAGGCGCCGGUUCCUCUGGAGCAACGAAGAGGAGAUCACUGGGGCCAGCUGCAAGGUGAACUGGCCGUCAGUGUGUGCCCCAACGGAGCAGGGGGCCCUCAGCGUCCCGGACCUCAAGCGCUUUGGCAGAGCGCUUCGGCUGCGCUGGCUAUGGAUCGCAUGGCACCACCCGGAAAAGCCCUGGGCGGGGUCUGAACUGCCAUGCAACGAUGCAGACAGGGCCCUCUUUGCGGCAUCGACCAAGGUAACGGUCGGAGACGGGACGCGGGCCUCUUUCUGGCUGUCGCCAUGGCUAGGGCACGGAACGCUGUCACAGCGUUUCCCCCAGCUGUUCAACCACUCCCGCCGCAAGCACAUAACAGUUCAGGAGGCAAUGAAAGGCGACACAUGGAUCCGCGAUCUCGCUCACGGGCAAAACCAGCACCUCCUUAGUGAGGUGCUAAGCCUGCACCACGAGCUGCAGCGCUCGGGACCGCCGGCACGGCCUGGGGAGCAAGAUGCCAUCAGUUGGAAACUAUCAGGCACGGGGUCGUAUUCGGCCAAAUUGGCAUACCGGGUGCAGUUCCAGGGAAGGAUAGCCACCAACUUUGACCAACUAAUCUGGAAGGCCUGGGCGCCAGGGAAGAUCAAAAUAUUCGCGUGGUUGCUGCUGCGGGAUAGGCUUUGGUGCAACGACAGGCUGCAGAGGCGGGGAUGGCCGAAUUCCUACUUCUGUCAACUCUGUGUCAGAAGCCUCGAGUCCUCGAGCCACCUGUUCUGGAAUUGCCCGGAGUCCAGGCAGGUUUGGAGCAGGAUCGGGCAAUGGCAAGGCUGCUCUUCGCUCUCUCCCGCAGCUAGCUGGUGCAGCAGAAACUCCACCACGAUCGUCCAAACCAUCCUAGCGCGCACAGACACACCUCACCGGCAAGGCGCGCGGUCGAUCUUGCUGCUGGCAUGCUGGGAGAUUUGGCAAGAAAGGAACAAAUGCACUUUCCGCCGCGGCAUCCCAAGCGUGAGAGAAAUCCUCAGGCGCAUCCGAGAUGGCAUCGAGCUUUGGAGGAUCACCGGAGCUUCAUGCAUUGAGAGCCCUUUUGGGGAACCACCAUGA